CGUACACUCCUGCGCGAGGCAGCAGUGGGGAAUUUUGGACAAUGGGCGAAAGCCUGAUCCAGCAAUGCCGCGUGUGUGAAGAAGGCCUUCGGGUUGUAAAGCACUUUUGUCCGGAAAGAAAUCCUUGGCUCUAAUACAGUCGGGGGAUGACGGUACCGGAAGAAUAAGCACCGGCUAACUACGUGCCAGCAGCCGCGGUAAUACGUAGGGUGCGAGCGUUAAUCGGAAUUACUGGGCGUAAAGCGUGCGCAGGCGGUUUGCUAAGACCGAUGUGAAAUCCCCGGGCUCAACCUGGGAACUGCAUUGGUGACUGGCAGGCUAGAGUAUGGCAGAGGGGGGUAGAAUUCCACGUGUAGCAGUGAAAUGCGUAGAGAUGUGGAGGAAUACCGAUGGCGAAGGCAGCCCCCUGGGCCAAUACUGACGCUCAUGCACGAAAGCGUGGGGAGCAAACAGGAUUAGAAACCCCAGUAGUCCCAU
rnacentral:rRNA from 1 species